UUCUACGGAUCGACAAUGGAUUUCAAGGAUUUGGGUUUUUGCAGUGGAAAUUUUGGUUGCUAUUUGGGUUGGGUGUUAGCAGUGGUGGUUUAGGGUGCGGGAUGGUGAAGAUUCAGUGGGGGUGAAUCGGGGGUUUGGUUUGGUAUUAGUGGUUAUGGAUUUUUUGGAGUGGAAAUUUUGAUUGCUCAUAAUCUCUUUGCGUGAAAAUGGUGGAGAUGGCCGAUGGGAAAACGGCGGCGAUUGUCAAAUGGUCUUUCGGGACUGCCUUAAGACAAGACAACCCGGUUGGAAUUUGGGGUUGCGAUGAGCACCAUCUUCACCUUUGCAAUAGAAU
rnacentral:lncRNA from 1 species